CAAUCCGGUUCUCGCUGGUUGUGAUGGCUUUAGUGUUCAAAGGGAGCACUGGGGUGUCGGUGAUGCAGACGCAAGGCCCCGUGAGUGUGUCCAAGGGGGAAGGUUGGAGGCUCCAUUGUAGCUAUGAUGAUGCCGCAGUGUAUGCCGUCUUCUGGUACGUGCAGAUCCCCAGCCAGCCCCCCCGGUUGCUCCUGAGGGACCUGGGACGCGAGGACUCGGAUGAAGGGAUCAGAAAAGGGUUCGAUGCCACCCACGAUAAAAAGAACAAAUCCUUCCACCUGUGGAAACCGGCCAGCGACCUGAGCGACUCUGCCACCUAUUACUGCGCCGCGAGCGACACAGUGACACGGACCGGCCGGGGAGCUGAGCACAAACCGCGCAGGGUGUGUGCAAAACAGAGGGGGCGGGGGAAGGCGCAAACACAGAACUUGGAUCUCUGGUCACCGUCUAGCUCUGGGCUUCACCGGCUUGAUCCAAUCCAGGGCUUCAUCUGUUGGAGACACUACACGGAAUAGCAUGUAACAAAAUUAACAUGAGACCAAUACGGUCUGUCAAAGAA